UAGUCUCAUUAAAAGAAAAUAACAAAUACCCCCUACCAAGUUGUCGAACAAAAGGUGGGGUAUUUGUGCAGUAAAAUUGGAAGAUGGGAGCGGGUAGCAAGGCAGGGAAUCUGAUAUUUAAGGCCGCGGCGGCGGGGUUGGGCGUCGCCACCAUUUAUCUCACUGCAACAUUCUCCGUUAACGUCUACAGGGGUCUCUCUUGGCAUAAUGCCCAAAAGAAAGAGGAGAAAGAAAGGUCUGUAAGUCAGCAGGAAGAAUGAUGUGUUUUGUAGUCCUACACUUGGUUGUCGUGCUGCUAGCCUAGAAUCCUGCCAGAAGUUUCGGAGGAUAUAUGCAUCUUGUCAAAUUGUGUAAUAACUUCUUUACAAUUUUUCCAUAGGAUACUUAAUGGCAGCACUUACGAUCUUCUCAUUCAACGAACAAAUUGGAUAGAGUCUCAUGUUUAUUCAUUUUCUGUUAUUUUGUUGCUGAAAUUCUCCUUAACUCGAGAGUUAUAGUAGCUACUAGCUAAUGAGAGUUGAGAUGGAGUUGGAAUAGUACUUAUCAAUAAGAUUUAUGUUUCACAUUGGAAUUUAA